UACGGGGGGGGGCAAGCGUUGUUCGGAAUUACUGGGCGUAAAGGGCGCGUAGGCGGCCAUCUAAGUCAGACGUGAAAUCCCUCGGCUCAACCGAGGAACUGCGUCUGAUACUGGAAGGCUUGAAUCCGGGAGAGGGAUGUGGAAUUCCAGGUGUAGCGGUGAAAUGCGUAGAUAUCUGGAGGAACACCGGGUGGCGAAGGCGGCAUCCUGGACCGGUAUUGACGCGUGA
rnacentral:rRNA from 1 species